UACGUAGGUGGCAAGCGUUAUCCGGAUUUACUGGGUGUAAAGGGCGUGUAGGCGGGAUGGUAAGUCAGAUGUGAAAACUAUGGGCUCAACCCAUAGCCUGCAUUUGAAACUAUCGUUCUUGAGUGUUGGAGAGGCAGGCGGAAUUCCGUGUGUAGCGGUGAAAUGCGUAGAUAUACGGAGGAACACCAGUGGCGAAGGCGGCCUGCUGGACAAUAACUGACGCUGAGGCGCGAAAGCGUG
rnacentral:rRNA from 1 species